CAGGCUCCAGCAAUCCUCCUGCCUCUGACUCCCAAGUAGCUGAAAUCACAGGCGCCUGCCACCAUGCCCAGUUAAUUUUUGUGUUUUUAGCAGAGAUGGGUUUUCACCAUGUUGGCCUGGCGGCUCUCAAAUUCCUGACCUCAAGUAAUCCGCCCACCUCAGCCUCCCAAAGUGCUGGGAUGACAAGCGUGAGUCACUGCACCUGGCCAUAGGACUGGCUUUCAACAGGAAGCACAGAAAAUUCCUCCAAGGGACAGGAGAGAAGGACAGGUGCACACAUGGCAAAUGCAGCUUUCCUGAUGCAAGAUCAGCGGUCGAGGAUUCGGGCUUGUUGUGGGUACUGGGAAUCUUGAGGAGAGAGGAGAGUCAGAAGCUGCAGUCUUGGAGAAAAAAAACAACAACAGAAAAACAGGACCAGAGUCUGUUUCUGAAUCUGUGCAUCGGUGAUAACUGUGACU
rnacentral:lncRNA from 1 species